rnacentral:rRNA from 1 species
UCGGGAAUCUUCGGCAAUGGACGAAAGUCUGACCGAGCAACGCCGCGUGAGUGAAGAAGGUUUUCGGAUCGUAAAACUCUGUUGUUAGAGAAGAACAAGGACGUUAGUAACUGAACGUCCCCUGACGGUAUCUAACCAGAAAGCCACGGCUAACUACGUGCCAGCAGCCGCGGUAAUACGUAGGUGGCAAGCGUUGUCCGGAUUUAUUGGGCGUAAAGCGAGCGCAGGCGGUUUCUUAAGUCUGAUGUGAAAGCCCCCGGCUCAACCGGGGAGGGUCAUUGGAAACUGGGAGACUUGAGUGCAGAAGAGGAGAGUUGAAUUCCAUGUGUAGCGGUGAAAUGCGUAGAUAUAUGGAGGAACACCAGUGGCGAAGGCGGCUCUCUGGUCUGUAACUGACGCUGAGGCUCGAAAGCGUGGGGAGCAAACAGG